UUUUUUUAAGGGUACUCUUAAAUAAAUGGAUAAUCGUUAAUUGGAUCCAAUUAAUGAUUUGGUAAGUUAAUAAUGAAGAUAUGGCGUCAUGUAAAGCGAACGGCGCAUGUAAAGCGAUGCGCCGUAAAUUUCAUACACAACGUGUCGCAAGCUCGACGAGAGCAGAGCCCAGAGCGCAGAACCCAGUCGCAGUUGCUCGCCAUCGGGCGCCAGUCCGAACGGGAUGAUCCAGUUGAACACGAGCGAUCGAGCUAGUGUUGACGACGAAGCGAGAAAGCUGAUGAUUAUAGUUAAUCGUGCCGUUCUUUUCGUAUCUCUCGAUCGCGAUGAGUUUUCUUUUUUUCUUUUUUUUUUUCUUUUUCCCGACUCUGGUGAUCUCAAGAUCGACCGACCGGUUUGUGCGUCCGAUCGUUAUCGAAUAAUAUCGACGUAUAACAUCCUAAAUAGGUGCCGGCAUCACGAUGCGAGUUACCGUUCGAUGCAAUUUUCAAGAGCGCGUUCUUAUGAGAAAGAUGACGAAUCAUUGAUGUAGUUUCAUCUCGAUGACUCGACUCGAGAGAGUAGGAAAAACAGGUUUUCUAUUUCAUACGCGGAGCACGAAACUUUUAUCGCGUCAUAAUUAUAAAGUGCGCAAUGAUGAUGUGAAGUGCAACUUUAAUUUAUAUGCAUAUAUACAUAUAAAGAGCAUAAAUUUUGGCACAAAUUUUCGAAGGAGGAAAUAAAUUUAUAUGACGGAAAUAA